rnacentral:rRNA from 1 species
CACCUUUGACAUGUACGGAAUCCUUUAGAGAUAAAGGAGUGCUCGAAAGAGAGCCGUAACAC